UGGGGAAUUUUGGACAAUGGGCGCAAGCCUGAUCCAGCAAUGCCGCGUGCAGGAUGAAGGCCUUCGGGUUGUAAACCGCUUUUGUCAGGGAAGAAACGAGUUUCUCUAAUACAGAGACUUAAUGACGGUACCUGAAGAAUAAGCACCGGCUAACUACGUGCCAGCAGCCGCGGUAAUACGUGGGGUGCGAGCGUUAAUCGGAAUUACUGGGCGUAAAGCGUGCGCAGGCGGUUAUAUAAGACAGAUGUGAAAUCCCCGGGCUCAACCUGGGACCUGCAUUUGUGACUGUAUAGCUAGAGUACGGUAGAGGGGGAUGGAAUUCCGCGUGUAGCAGUGAAAUGCGUAGAUAUGCGGAGGAACACCGAUGGCGAAGGCAAUCCCCUGGACCUGUACUGACGCUCAUGCACGAAAGCGUGGGGAGCAAACA
rnacentral:rRNA from 1 species